rnacentral:lncRNA from 1 species
UGAUUAUGGAAGAAAUAUUUGUAGAGGACCUUCUUGCCUAAUGGCAUAAACCCCUGUGGAUUUUGUGGGAGUCCUUAGGCUUUUGAAAAUGUAAUAUCAGCAGAAACAUUGCCAACCUGUACUGAACAGUACAGAGAGAAGUUAAAAUGGAGGAAGAAUGGCUCUGAGGAGGGAGCCUCUGAUGUCUAGGCUCAUAAGACCUAUUGGUUCCAGAAGGUGGGAUCAACUCUUGGUUCUGAAGUGUGAGGCUGCCAUUCAAGACCAAGUAAGAAGGCUACCUUGGAAGGCCCAGAAGACAGAGUAUUGAGCCAGAGAGAAUUAUACUCAAGUCUUAAAACCUAAAUGGAAAAAAUCUUUGCUUGAGAAGGAACCAUAUCCUGAGUCUUACCCAUAAAAGGAUUUUGAUGAGAUUUUGGACCUUAAGUUGAUAUUGGAAUAGUUAAGACUUUUGGAUCAGGUGAAUGUGGUUUGCAUACAGAAAGGCCAUGCUUUAUUUUUAUUUUUAUUUUUUGAUGGGGGAAGCAAAGGGAAGACUUUUAAAGGUUGAAUUGUGUCCCCAAAAGCUAUGUUGGAGUCUUAAUUCUCAGUAUCUCAGAAGGUGAAUUUACCUGGAAAUAGAUUGCAGCAGAUGAAAUUAAUUAAGUUAAUACAAGGUUAUACUAGAUUAGGAUGGGCUUCUAGUUCAAUAUGACUGAGAUUAUUAUAAGACAACAAAAUAAAUACAUGAAAAAACACAAAAAUGCAGGGAGAGUUCUAUAUAAUGGUGAAUUCAGAGAUUGAAAUUUUGCAGUUGCAAAGGAUGAAAAGUUAAAGAUUAUUGGUGGUACCAGAAGCUAAAACCAUGGAACAUAUUCUCCCUUACAGUCUUCAAGAAAGCAUGAGUAUGCUGACACAUUGAUUUUGGACUUCUAGCCUCAGACCAUUGAGAGAAAAUUAAUUUAUGUUGUUUUCAGCCACCCAGUUUGUGGCACUUUGUUAUAGCAGCCCUGGGAAACUAGUGCACUAAAUGUAUAUACAUAAGCUUUUUUUUGUAGCAUCUUUGAGCUGUCAUGUAUUUUUAAAUAUUUGAUUGCUAAAAAUUUGCUAUUACUGAAGGGAUUCUGAAGGGCUACUGGCUCCACAUAUUUUACACAUUAAACCUUUCCAAG